rnacentral:ncRNA from 1 species
AAUGUUUUACAUGAAUUCGUAUAAUCCCAAUAAUAUGGAUUGGGAGUCUCUACCAGGACCCGUAAAAUUCCUGAUUACGAAGAAAGCUUA